rnacentral:rRNA from 1 species
CCCGCUGAACUUAAGCAUAUCAAUAAGCGGAGGAAAAGAAACUAACAAGGAUUCCCCCAGUAACGGCGAGUGAAGAGGGAACAGCCCAAAUUUGUAAUCUGGCCCUUUCAGGGUCCGAAUUGUAAUUUCAAGAACUGUUUUCUGUGCUGGACCAUGUACAAGUCUGUUGGAAUAUAGCUUCAUAGAGGGUGAGAAUCCCGUACAUGACAUGGACUACCAGUGCUUUGUGAUACAGUCUCUAAGAGUCGAGUUGUUUGGGAAUGCAGCUCAAAUUGGGUGGUAAAUUCCAUCUAAGGCUAAAUAUUGGCGAGAGACCGAUAGCGAACAAGUACCGUGAGGGAAAGAUGAAAAGCACUUUGGAAAGAGAGUUAACAGUAUGUGAAAUUGUUGAAAGGGAAACGCUUGAAGUCAGUCUUGUUCUUUGUUGUUCAACCGCAAGGUGUAUUCAACUUUGAACAGGCCAGCAUCAGUUUUGAGUGUUGGAUAAGGGUAAAGGAAAUGUGGCAACCUUGGUUGUGUUAUAGUCCUUUACUUGAUACAAUGCUUGGGACUGAGGAAUGCAGUAUUUAUUACUUUGGAUGCUGGCGUAAUGGCUUUAAACGACCCGUCUUGAAACACGG